GAUGAACGCUGGCGGCGUGCCUAAUACAUGCAAGUCGAGCGAACGGACGAGAAGCUUGCUUCUCUGAUGUUAGCGGCGGACGGGUGAGUAACACGUGGAUAACCUACCUAUAAGACUGGGAUAACUUCGGGAAACCGUAGCUAAUACCGGAUAAUAUUUUGAACCGCAUGGUUCAAAAGUGAAAGACGGUCUUGCUGUCACUUAUAGAUGGAUCCGCGCUGCAUUAGCUAGUUGGUAAGGUAACGGCUUAACAAGGCAACGAUGCAUAGCCGACCUGAGAGGGUGAUCGGCCACACUGGAACUGAGACACGGUCCAGACUCCUACGGGAGGCAGCAGUAGGGAAUCUUCCGCAAUGGGCGAAAGCCUGACGGAGCAACGCCGCGUGAGUGAUGAAGGCCUUCGGAUCGUAAAACUCUGUUAUUAGGGAAGAACAUAUGUGUAAGUAACUGUGCACAUCUUGACGGUACCUAAUCAGAAAGCCACGGCUAACUACGUG
rnacentral:rRNA from 1 species